rnacentral:rRNA from 1 species
GAUGAACGCUGGCGGCGUGCCUAAUACAUGCAAGUCGAGCGAACAGACGAGGAGCUUGCUCCUCUGACGUUAGCGGCGGACGGGUGAGUAACACGUGGAUAACCUACCUAUAAGACUGGGAUAACUUCGGGAAACCGGAGCUAAUACCGGAUAAUAUAUUGAACCGCAUGGUUCAAUAGUGAAAGACGGUUUAGCUGUCACUUAUAGAUGGAUCCGCGCCGCAUUAGCUAGUUGGUAAGGUAACGGCUUACCAAGGCAACGAUGCGUAGCCGACCUGAGAGGGUGAUCGGACAAAAUGGAACUGAGACAAGGUCCAGACUCAUACGGGAGGCAGCAGUAGGGAAUGUUACGAAAUGGGCGAAAGCGUGACGGAGCAACGCCGCGUGAGUGAUGAAGGUAUUCGGAUCGUAAAACUCUGUUAUUAGGGAAGAACAAAUGUGUAAGUAACUAUGCAAGUCUUGACGGUAACUAAUCAGAAAGCCACGGCUAACUACGUG